GCCCCCGUAGCUCAGUUAGGAUAGAGCAGUGGUUUCCUAAACCAUUGGUCGCCCGUUCGAGUCGGGCCGGGGGUA
rnacentral:tRNA from 1 species